GACGAACGCUGGCGGCGUGCCUAACACAUGCAAGUCGAGCGGAGUUUAGCGGGCGGCGACUUCGGUCAAAGCCUGUUAAACUUAGCGGCGGACGGGUGAGUAACACGUAGGCAACCUGCCCAUGACACGGGGAUAGCUUCGGGAAACCGGAGGUAAUACCCGAUACCUUUACUUAUCGCAUGGUAAGUAAAGAAAGCGACUUAGCGGUCAUGGAUGGGCCUGCGUCCCAUUAGCUAGUUGGUGAGAUAACAGCCCACCAAGGCGACGAUGGGUAGCCGACCUGAGAGGGUGACCGGCCACACUGGAACUUAGACACGGUCCAGACUCCUACGGGAGGCAGCAGUGGGGAAUAUUGCGCAAUGGGCGAAAGCCUGACGCAGCGACGCCGCGUGAGCGAAGAAGGCCUUCGGGUCGUAAAGCUCAGUCAUUGGGGAUGACACGGACAGUACCCAAGGAGGAAGCCCCGGCUAACUACGUGCCAGCAGCCGCGGUAAUACGUAGGGGGCGAGCGUUGUCCGGAAUUACUGGGUGUAAAGGGCGUGUAGGCGGGGAUGCAAGUUACUGGUAAAAACCCGAGGCUCAACCACGGGCUUGCCGGUAAAACUGUAUCUCUUGAGUGUAGGAGAGGGAAGUGGAAUUCCCGGAGUAGCGGUGAAAUGCGUAGAUACCGGGAGGAACACCAGUGGCGAAGGCGGCUUCCUGGCCUACUACUGACGCUGAGGCGCGAAAGCUAGGGGAGCGAACGGGAUUAGAUACCCCGGUAGUCCUAGCCGUAAACGAUGGUCACUAGGUGUGGGUGGUGGUCAAGCCAUCCGUGCCGGAGCUAACGCAAUAAGUGACCCACCUGGGGAGUACGGCCGCAAGGUUGA
rnacentral:rRNA from 1 species